rnacentral:rRNA from 1 species
AAAAAGCUCGUAGUUGGAUUUGUGGUGGGCCCGGUGGCUCGGCCUUAGUUGGCCGUUGCUGUUUUGGGUCCGCCAUCCUUGGGUGGAAUCAGUGUGGCAUUAAGUUGUCGCGCUGGGGAUGCCCAUCGUUUACUGUGAAAAAAUUAGAGUGUUCAAAGCAGGCUUACGCCGUUGAAUAUAUUAGCAUGGAAUAAUGAGAUAGGACCUUGGUACUAUUUUGUUGGUUUGCGCACCGAGGUAAUGAUUAAUAGGGACAGUUGGGGGUAUUCGUAUUCCAUUGUCAGAGGUGAAAUUCUUGGAUUUCUGGAAGACGAACUACUGCGAAAGCAUUUACCAAGGAUGUUUUCAUUAAUCAAGAACGAAAGUUAG